GACGAACGCUGGCGGCGUGCCUAAUACAUGCAAGUAGAACGCACAGUUUAUACCGUAGCUUGCUACACCAUAGACUGUGAGUUGCGAACGGGUGAGUAACGCGUAGGUAACCUGCCUGGUAGCGGGGGAUAACUAUUGGAAACGAUAGCUAAUACCGCAUAAUAUUAAUUAUUGCAUGAUAAUUAAUUGAAAGGUGCAAUUGCACCACUACCAGAUGGAACUGCGUUGUAUUAGCUAGUAGGUGAGGUAACGGCUCACCUAGGCGACGAUACAUAGCCGACCUGAGAGGGUGGUCGGCCACACUGGGACUGAGACACGGCCCAGACUCCUACGGGAGGCAGCAGUAGGGAAUCUUCGGCAAUGGACGAAAGUCUGACCGAGCAACGCCGCGUGAGUGAAGAAGGUUUUCGGAUCGUAAAGCUCUGUUGUAAGAGAAGAACGGGUGUGAUAGUGGAAAGUUCACACUGUGACGGUAUCUUACCAGAAAGUGACGGCUAACUACGU
rnacentral:rRNA from 1 species